AGGGGGGUGGAAUUCCACGUGUAGCAGUGAAAUGGAGAGAUGUGGAGGAACACCAAUGGCGAAGGCAGCCCCCUGGGUCGAUACUGACGCUCAUGCACGAAAGCGUGGGUAGCAAACAGGAUUAGAUACCCUGGUAGUCCACGCCCUAAACGAUGUCAACUAGGUGUUGGGAGGGUAAAACCUUUUAGUGCCGUAGCUAACG
rnacentral:rRNA from 1 species